UCGCCCGGUUGCGCGGCGCGGGGGCGCCGGUGGCCACGUCGGCGGCGUUGGCGUCGGUGUCGGCGCAGCCGUGGUCGCCGCGCAGCCCGGCGAGC
rnacentral:tRNA from 1 species